rnacentral:rRNA from 1 species
UACGGAGGGGGCUAGCGUUGUUCGGAAUUACUGGGCGUAAAGCGCACGUAGGCGGGCGAGAAAGUCAGAGGUGAAAUCCCAGGGCUCAACCCUGGAACUGCCUUUGAAACUUCUUGUCUUGAGGUCGAGAGAGGUGAGUGGAAUUCCGAGUGUAGAGGUGAAAUUCGUAGAUAUUCGGAGGAACACCAGUGGCGAAGGCGGCUCACUGGCUCGAUACUGACGCUGAGGUGCGAAAGCGUGGGGAGCAAACAGG